GAAAUGCGAUAAGUAAUGUGAAUUGCAGAAUUCAGUGAAUCAUCGAAUCUUUGAACGCACAUUGCGCCCGCCAGUAUUCUGGCGGGCAUGCCUGUUCGAGCGUCAUUUCAACCAUCAAGCCCCCGGCUUGUGUUGGGGACCUGCGGCUGCCCGCAGGCCCUGAAAACCAGUGGUGGGCUCGCUGUCACACCGAGCGUAGUAGCAUACAUCUCGCUCAGGGCGUGCUGCGGGUUCCGGCCGUUAAAAGCCUUUUUUACCCAAGGUCGACCUCGGAUCAGGUAGGAAGACCCGCUGAACUUAAGC
rnacentral:misc_RNA from 1 species